AGCGAACGCUGGCGGCAGGCCUAACACAUGCAAGUCGAACGAACUCCUCGGAGUUAGUGGCGGACGGGUGAGUAACACGUGGGAACGUGCCUUUAGGUUCGGAAUAACUCAGGGAAACUUGUGCUAAUACCGAAUGUGCCCUUCGGGGGAAAGAUUUAUCGCCUUUAGAGCGGCCCGCGUCUGAUUAGCUAGUUGGUGAGGUAAAGGCUCACCAAGGCGACGAUCAGUAGCUGGUCUGAGAGGAUGAUCAGCCACAUUGGGACUGAGACACGGCCCAAACUCCUACGGGAGGCAGCAGUGGGGAAUCUUGCGCAAUGGGCGAAAGCCUGACGCAGCCAUGCCGCGUGAAUGAUGAAGGUCUUAGGAUUGUAAAAUUCUUUCACCGGGGACGAUAAUGACGGCACCCGGAGAAGAAGCCCCGGCUAACUUCGUGCCAGCCGCCGCGGUAA
rnacentral:rRNA from 1 species